CGGGGCACUUAGUCACUGAAAACAUUGUGCAGACAGUCCUAGUAAAGUCUUAUUUUGUGUGUGUGUGUGUGUGUGUGUGUGUGUGUGUGUGUGUGUGUGAGAGAGAGAGAGAGAGAGA